GAGUUUGAUCGUGGCUCAGGAUGAACGCUGGCGGCGUGCCUAACACAUGCAAGUCGAACGAAGCAUUUUGAAUGAAGUUUCGGAUGGAUUUUAAGAUGACUGAGUGGCGGACGGGUGAGUAACACGUGGACAACCUGCCUCACACUGGGGGACAACAGUUAGAAAUGACUGCUAAUACCGCAUAAGCGCACAGUACCGCAUGGUACAGUGUGAAAACUCCGGUGGUGUGAGAUGGAUCCGCGUCUGAUUAGCCAGUUGGCGGGUAACGGCCACCAAAGCGACGAUCAGUAGCCGACCUGAGAGGGUGACCGG
rnacentral:rRNA from 1 species